AGACGGAUACACUCUGCAAAAAUGAGAUCCGCCGUUUUCUGAAAAUUGGGAUACACUUUACAGACCUAGUGACUUAGAUCGAGGAGCUGAAGAAAUCAGUGACGUUGAACACAAAGGAAACCCCCCCCCCCCCACUCCCCCCCUUUGGUCGUUCUUUUCCAACAUAACUCCUCAUCAGCCAUUCUUCAAGGCCUAGGCAGCCAUCAGCCAUCGAUCAAGAACCAACGACCCCUACUUCUUCACUCGAUUCCAACCAUAAUGGCCAUCUCCCUUUAAUCUCCACCCGUUUCUUCAACGCCCAGCAACACCUUCCCCAACCACCAAGACACCAGCCAACGGCCACUCUCUCACCACCCAAAAGCACACACACACGAGCAAAGAAGCUGAAAAACAGAAAAAAGUUGGGGAAAAUCGGACAAAAGAAUCCGGGCAGAGAGGGCCAAAAGUUUCAAGGUUUUUUUGGGUUUUGAUUUCCACCUUCCUUUCUCUGAUUUCUGGUUUUCAACGAUGAAUCCGUUCAAGAUUGAGGUCAUAUCGAAUUCAUAUGGUUGGGGUGUCUGUUUGAGGUCGAAGGUCGUGUUCACUGCCUUCGUUUGAGGUUUUCCGCUUGAAGUUGCAGUUUUGGGAUUGUCGUUUGAUUUAACUGAUGUAGCUGCUAAGUUUCAUUAAUCAAAAAGCUAUUUCAGGUCCAUUUCAUCUCUCUUUCUCACUUUGAUAAUCUAUGUGUGAUUGAAAUAUAAUAAGAACCAGUAAAAUUUAUUGAAGUUUAUGGGUUAAGGUAUUUGAAUUUUCUUAGUUGAAUCUUGGUUUAUAAAAAUUUGAUUUCUGUUUAAUCAAAUUUGAUUUCGAUUGGGCUGUCGUUCGUGAUUCUUAGUUGAAGAAAGUGGUUUAAUUUCCAAGAGUGUGCUGUUACUAUUUGUUCACUUCAACUCCUUUUUUCCAAUCUAUAAAUCUUAUAUCACAUUCGGUCUUGAAGUUCAAAGGCAUGCAUCUAUGCCUCCGGUAGCAAAAGGAAUGUCUUUUAGCGAAAGUAGAAAAAUUAUUUAACAACACACGAGUUUUACUUAAUUUAUAAGAUACAAGUCUUCUUGAUAUUGUGUUUAUCUAGUAAAUUGAAAUUCAUUGAGAUCUAGGUUUUGAACACAGUUUGUGUAUUUAAUAGGACAUAUAGUAAGUUUACCCAUGUUCUAUUCUCGGAUAUUGUAAAAUUUAUUCUCUUUAUCAAUAAAGUUUAAUCAAGUUAGUUAGUUCACAUCGCUAGCAUACUUUUAGGCGCAUUUUUAAUCUAUCAUCAUGAUUGUGUACAUGUUCGCGUAACAUAAUUACGGUUCUAAAAAUCAAUUCGGAGUAUGCGUCCGCACAACUUCGAUCAAACCUUCUUAAUAAUAAAAUUGAUUUUCAUAGGCUACUAAUUUAAUUAGGUCCGAGGUGUGUCAUCCAUGAUUUAAUCAUACGUGGACCUCGUAUUAGUUUCAUAACUUAGAUAAAACAAUGGCAAAUGCUCGUAAUUGCUCUAGGCCCGUUUAAUAUAUCAUUGUGAUCGUGCACACGUUCGCGUGACAUGAUUAUGAUUUCUAAAAAACAAAACAGGAGUAUGCGUUCGCGCAACUUCAGCCAAAUUUUCUUAAUAAUAAUAAAGCGUUAUUAAUUGCGGACACGUUCGCGUGACAUGAUUUCUGACACGCCAAAUAAACGGGUACACGUACGCGUGACCCGCUUCAAGACAAUUUCUUAAUUAAAAGAGGCAAAUGCACAUAGGUUCUAAAAUGAGUAAUAGAUAAUUUGAUUAACCCAAGUAUGAUCAAAGCGACCGUGCUAAAACCACGGAACUCGGGAAUGCCUAACACCUUCUCCUGGGUUAACAUAAUUCCUUACCCUUCGCAGACCGUACAUAGAGCUAAACUUCCUCGAUUCGGGAUUUAAAACGGUGACUUGGGACACCAUAAAUUAUCCCAAGUGGCGACUCUGAAUAAUAAAUGAAUAAUCUCGUUUCGAUUGUCACUUAAAUUGAAAAAAACUCCCUUAUACCCUUCCGGGGUAGUAAAAAGUAGGUGUGACAGCUCUGGCAUCACACCUCCUUAAACACAUUGAGAUUUCUUAUACAAUUUGGGAUAUUAGCCUUCAUUUGAACUCGACAUGAAGUCAUAGCAUUUUUAAUACACAACCCAUUCUUUGAACACAUUCUCAUAUGAUAGCGUAACAUGACAAGAGCAUUUGGAAUGCAUGUUGAACAUAUAUAUCUUUCAACUCAAGCUUAUAAGAAUAUCGUGGGAUUCAAUUCUAAGAGAGAUUUAGCCAAUGUUGCUCGCUUUGAGCUUUUUUAAAUUACUACAAUAUUCCAGAAAUCUCAAUAACUCAAUCUAUUUAGAAACAUAACAAAAUUGAACCAUAAUUAGGAAGAAGUUCCACUACAAAAAAGGGCUUUAGCGGUAAUAAAAAAGAUCAUUGGCGGCAAUAACAAUUACCGCUAUACCAAUUACCUCCCAUUGAUGUUUAGUCGUUGAUAUUGGGGUCGGCAAAGCCUUUAGCGGCGUUUCUCACAAAAGCUGGUAAGUGUGUGACUUAUUGCCGCUAAAUAUGAUUUGCUUUAACAUCAAUUGUUUGCGGCAAUUAUGAUGGCUGCUAAAUCCAAUCUAAAAACGGCUAUUAAUGCUCUUUUUACGUCCAUUUUUGUAGUUGCUAAAUUCAAAAUAUUUGUCGCUAUAGGUCCAUAGCUUUAGCUGUAAUUGUUUUGUGGCAAUUAGAAUAGCUAUAAUAUUCCUUCUGAAAAGGUAUUAGUAUGCUCUUUUAGCAUCCAUUUUAAUGGCUAGUAAAUUCAAUUAAAUUGCCGCUAAAAAUCAUUUUUAACAGCAAUUAUAAUGGCUAUAAUAUCCCCUGUGGAAACAUUAUAAUUUGCCCUUUUAACAUCUAUUUUUGUAGCCAAUAUAUUAUGUUAAAUUGUCACUAUGUCACAAGCUAUAACGAUAAUAGUUUAGCCACCUUUAAUAAUAACUAUUACAUUCAUUCAAAAAAUGAUCCAAAUAAUAAAGUAUAAUAAUAUUGAUUCAUAAAAACAUAAUGUAUCUCAUUAAAUCUUAACAAACAAAAGGAAUUACUAAUCAAAAAUAGUAAUAUCACGGUAACUUAAAAAAUAAACUUAUAUUGUUUGAAGCAAUUAACUAUCGUCAUUAUAUAACUAAUUCGAACAAAUAAUAGUCUUCAAAUAAUUUCUGCAAUGCUUCAUCAUUUAGAAAUCUUCCACCGGCUAAAUUAUCGAUCAUCAGACUGUACGACCUGAAAUUACAAAAUAACUAUGUCAAUAGAUGAAAUAUAAUAGUCUUCUAACUGGGAUGUUUAUCGAGCAAACAUUGCCCCAAGCUAAAGUUGUUUUACUGUAAAAUGACAGUUCCAUUUUUUCUACAGAAUAAGACAUAACAAAUCCGACCGAAACAAAUCAAACUGUAAUAGUGUAGAUAAGAAGUAAAUCAGAGGAAUUUGCAAGAUAUCAAGCAAAUCAAAAAAAGAUUUAAGCUUUCAAAAGUGUGCAAGAUCUCCAGGAUAAUAAGGGUGAAAACCACUCCAACUAGUUUCUCAUGUAUUAUCCAGAAAGUUACGCCACGAUAAAAUGACUAUGAUUUUUGUGAUAAUCAGUCCUGUCCAGAUAAAGGUUUCUGGUCAGUAACGACUUAAUCUACAGAUAAAGAAGGUUAAACAUUUCGUUUCUUUCUAAGGACAUCCCUUCUAUAUGGUAUAUAUGUAUCAGCAUGACAAAAAGUACACUUCACAUAUAUGAAUAUUCAGGAUUAAUUGUAAUUUCUUCAAGACCUCAAGGGCUAUGACAAACCAGGAUAGCUCAUAAAUACCAUAGAAAUUUCAAAUUGAUGAAAUAAUAAUCAACAGUUCAAACAAACAAAAGCAUUGAUUCAGUUCAAACUUCUUUAUUUGUUAUAGCAACAAACCAAUCCAGGUUGUCUACCCUAAUGUUUGAACACUUUCUAUGAGCUUGUAAAUUGUUUCAUGAAGUGGUAAGAUUCAGCACACUGCAAGAAUCAAAUAGAUCCCACCAACCAUCAUCAUAUCCAAAACAACCAUGCUUAGAGACACCGUGAAAGCUAUCAUUAUAGCCAAUGGUAGGUUUAUUAAGUGUAGCUGCAUUAUCAAAAUCCAAUUAGUGACACCAGCAAAACCUAAAGGUGAGAAUAUCACGGUACUUGAUGCUCCGACUCCUAAUGGGAAUCGAGCUCAAUCAUCUACUAAACAAGUUGCUGAUUUGAAGGAUCCUAAGGCAACAGAUGGUACAGUUGGUGCAUGUACAUGAUCAACCAGUUGCUGUACCUGCUGAAUUGUUUGAAAAAACAGCAGGCUCUAAAACUAUAGCUUUGAAUAGGGUUUCUCAGGUUUGCGAUGGGGAAAAGCAAGUCUCUAAAGACCCUAUUGUUGAUCAUGUUUCAGAUCAAGGAUGUACUCAAGUUUGUCGAGGUAAUGAAGCUGUGCAACAACUUUAUAAUGGACAGGGGCAGAUUAACAUUGUGACGGAUGCAACUGUUGCACGUGCUGAACUAGUUGAAAAACCAGCAGGCUUUAAAUCUAUUGUUGUGCAUGAUGAGAGGAAAGAACUUGAAUGUGUUGAUGUUUUGGAUAGUAUAACUGCUAUAGGUGAUAAGACAAUGCUUGAACUAGCUGAGAACUGUCCAAAUAGUCCAUCUGAUCAGGCAAAUACUGAGCUUAAUCUAGGGUGCGAUGUUGUAAGUGAAGUGCAAAAUAUAGUGUUUUCUAAUAAAGCAGGUACACAAGAAAGUCUGGUGAACAUAUGAUUGUAAGGAUGGAUGGGAAUCACUUGCUAUAGUUGCACUGAUGGAGAGAGAAGAAGAAAUCUACAACACAUAAUCAAAAAAACAAUGAACGUGCAAGGGUUUGAGGAAGUGGCUAGAUCAAUAUGUCCUGAAAGAGAAACUACUCCCUUUUCUUCUCCUAUUUCUGUUACAAAUAAACUGCAAGAUGUAGUAGUACAUGAGGAACCCACACCACUGAUGUUAAUUCACUGAGUUAACUUGGACAAAUACUGUUAUGACAGAUUUUGCUGCAAACGUCUGAACAGAACAACAAGAGGAAAAUAGGAAGCAUCUUCGGACAACAAAAUUUACUAACUAGUCCCAACUUAAGUAAUUGCAAUUGAUAUAUAGUUAUCGUUAAUGUCAGAUUGUCAAGUGUACAGAAAUUAAACUCGGACAACAAAGUGACGUGUGCGUGUAUAUCAUCAAUGGGAUGCACAGUUGUUGUAGUAAUAGCACUCGACUUUCCAUUAUCUCACUGCCUAUCAGCCCUUAAUUUUACCUUUUCUACAGCUGUUGCUUUUUAUUCUUCUUCUUUCUGUGUUUCCUUAAGGGCCAAGCACUACAAUAUGGCCAAAGGAAAAUUAGCUUUAGUUGAAAUGGUGGUGUUCCUUUUGAUUUUGUGUCAACAGUAUGUACUGUGAACACCACCAAUUAUAAGGGAGAAAAAGAAGCUGACAGACUAAUAUCUUUGCCAAGUCAACCGAAGGCAGAAAAGCUUUCAGUUAACUUUUCUGAUAUAAAGAGACGUAAGUGCUCAAAAUAUUUUGGAUUUACAUAAAAAGGAGAUUAAAGCAUCUAUAUUAUGCAAUCAUAUCAUGCAUAAAUUCACUACUAGCUAAUAUAUGAUGCUUUUAACCCGACGCUAACAUGCUUUUAUAUUCUUCAAAACCUAAUGCUUUUAUAUUUUAGUUAGCUUCACGGGUGAAAAAUAUCUUUAGUACACCAAAUGAUAAAUAGUGUUCCAAUACAUACAGUGAAGCUUAUAAGACCUCCGAAAUAAUAAUUAGUCCCAUUGCCCACUGAAAAUAGAGGAAAAAGUUAACAGAAAUCUUUUGUGUUUAAUAGUUGCUCAUAUUUCAAUCUAAAAACAGUGGCCAGGUGCAGUAGUUCAUUUUCCUACUGUAUAAAACCAAUUUAAUAUAAGUAGUGUUUUAGACACAUGGAGAGUGAACAGAAAUAUUUCACCUUUAGUUCAGAAAUAUUCUGGAUGGUAUUUCAAACAGUAAAAAACUCAAACAAUAGUGCACUGAAGGAUAAAGAUGAGUAGUAUCGUGAUAAAGUGAAGUAUUUUCAGCAACACUGCGUAUCCUUGAUGUUUGUGGUACUCGUUCAUGGCCGUUGUUGGCUUCAGGGACCUGAUAAAUAUUCACACAUUAGAUAACAAUACUUUUGUAGGAUUAAAAUUUCAUUAAGAAUGUCUAAAACUUAUGAAAUCGAGUUACCUGUUCACUUAAGGUGCCAUCGACAUUUUGAGGCAUAAGUUCAUUAGAAGUAUAUUUGCGCAUGAGUUGUCUCAUUUUGAGUAAUUCUGAUUGCAUCUUCUCUUGAUUUUGUUUCAUCGGGUUCAUUUCUUCAUUGUGUUUAUCCUUUAACUCGGUUAUCUCUUGUUCUAACCGUUGUACAACCUCAUCAGACGAAUCCUCCCCAAUAAUAUUUCCUAAGGAAGAUUUAUUACCCCUUAGCACAAAAGGAGUUGGACCAAGUACUAAACCAUGAACAUAUCCACUUUUGUCAUUACCGAAUACCUGGGAAUACACAUCGCCUUCCCAAGCAACACUGCGAGGAGGUUGGUCAGCAAAGCUCUCGCUAUUGCUCGUCCUUUCAUUUAUCAUUAGGCCAAAUCCAUAACGUAACAUAUCGUACACUAAAUCAGUCUAGUACCAGAUGUCAAGUUUUGAUCCCACAAAGAAGGCAUAACAGGAAAUGUCUUCCUGAUUAUCUCCCUAAUAGAUAACAUUCAAACUACCAAAAUUACUUAACAUUAAUCCAUUGCAUUAAUUCAGAUAUAAAUCAUAAAAUAUACUUUUGGGGUAAUUUUUGCAACAACUAAAUGUUGAAAACAAAGGUAUUAUAUGAAAUAUUGAUGGACGUGAGUUGAAAACAGAGGUGUAACUUGAAGUUGCAUUACAUGUAGUAGACAAAUCUGGAAAUCUUUUUAAUGUAGCGGAUGUUUGGACUAAUGAGAAAAGGUAAGUUGAAGCGGAAAAUACAGAUUUAAGAGAAUGCAAAAUGAUUCAACCAAUUUUAUCGUGAGUAAAUGAUUGUACAACAAAGAACAAAGUUCUGUAUAUACUCGUUUAUCUUAUUUUUCUAUUCUAUCUAUUCUCAGUUAUUUGAUACUACUAUUUUUUUUCUAGAUUUCACUUCGAAUGGAUACUUUUGGUGUUCAAAUAUAAGUAAAAGAUUAUUCUGAUCCUUUUAGACCUUCACGCGGACAAACUAACCAGUUGUAAAAUAUUUUGCGAACCUUUUAGCCACUAAAACUCUUCUUUGUAAUGAGGUAAACAUCAGCCUAAUAAUGCAAUAAAUCAUCAACUAACAAUAUAUAUAUAUAUANNNNNNNNNNNNNNNNNNNNNNNNNNNNNNNNNNNNNNNNNNNNNNNNNNNNNNNNNNNNNNNNNNNNNNNNNNNNNNNNNNNNNNNNNNNNNNNNNNNNNNNNNNNNNNNNNNNNNNNNNNNNNNNNNNNNNNNNNNNNNNNNNNNNNNNNNNNNNNNNNNNNNNNNNNNNNNNNNNNNNNNNNNNNNNNNNNNNNNNNNNNNNNNNNNNNNNNNNNNNNNNNNNNNNNNNNNNNNNNNNNNNNNNNNNNNNNNNNNNNNNNNNNNNNNNNNNNNNNNNNNNNNNNNNNNNNNNNNNNNNNNNNNNNNNNNNNNNNNNNNNNNNNNNNNNNNNNNNNNNNNNNNNNNNNNNNNNNNNNNNNNNNNNNNNNNNNNNNNNNNNNNNNNNNNNNNNNNNNNNNNNNNNNNNNNNNNNNNNNNNNNNNNNNNNNNNNNNNNNNNNNNNNNNNNNNNNNNNNNNNNNNNNNNNNNNNNNNNNNNNNNNNNNNNNNNNNNNNNNNNNNNNNNNNNNNNNNNNNNNNNNNNNNACAAGAGAGUAACAGAGGAGUAAUCAAUUCAAUCAAUCGACUAUCAAUCUAACAACAACCAGAUAUCACAAAUGACUUAGUAAACACAGAAAAAGUUAUACUUUCACUAAUCCCAAAAGGCCGUAGUUGGAUAUCAAAAAUCAAAAUUGGAACCUGGUAAGCAAGAAUUUUUGCCGAUUAAGAGCAGAAAUUGAAGGAGACGAAGGCUUUCUGCAAUAAUUCUUGAAACCUACACGAAACAGAAGUUGAAGACGAAUGAGAGGGAGAAGAUUGACAGAGAAGACUGAUAAUAAUCGAGCAGCAUCAACCCAAAAUUAUAUAUAACUCGAUCGAUAACGACCUGGCAUGGACGGAGACCGUGGCAGGGUAGAGGCUUUUGUAGCGAUGCUGUUAACGCGUAGGUUUUCUGUCGUUAUUCUAUAUCGUUCUAAUUACAGGCGUCAUUCUUCUAUAUCAUUCUAAUUACAGGGUUUGGUUUUUCUAUUGUUUUUUAAUUGUAGGGUUUUCUAAUUAGUGGGAAUGUAAUUUAUUAUCGCAAAAAAUUGGACAGAAAGAUUGUAUGGAGGGAAAGUUAAAAUAAUAAAAAAUAUAAUUCAAUUAGGGAUUUUUAGUUGCAAUUAUUUUUUAUUGUCGUUAAAAAUAUAUCUUUUACUGGCUAAUGGUCAUGUGCCGCUAAUAUUUUAGCUUAUUAGCUUAAAUAAUUCAUUAGUGAAAAUUACCUAAUUCCCGCUAAAUAAUUGCCGCCAAAGACCUUUUUUGUAGUAGUGUUCAUGGUCUAGCUCGUUUGAGAAUUUCAUCAAACACUAUGUGUGAAAAUUAGCUACAAGGUACUUCUACAAGAUUUCAUUUACCCCACAACCAAUUCAACACCUAGAGUUCACCCAUACUAGUUCAAUGACCUUUCCACAACUCUUGAUAGUACAUGCAUACAUAAAUAACACUCCCACACCCAAAAUUCAUACUUUUCAUUCACCAUCUUCCACCCCAAAUUCGAAAUUAGAAAACUAGGGUUAGAAACUUACCUCUUGGGUAAUGAUCUUGUGAGCUUUCUUGUUGAAUUUCAAUGCUUGAGCAAGAUUUGAUGAGCAAUAUGGAUAGGUCUCCUCUUUUUCUCUCUAAAUACUCUUACCUCUAUCUAAAAAUAUCAAAUGAAAUCAGCCAAAAUAAAUCCCAAAUGGUUUUUAUAAAAAUGGGGUUAGGUAAAAUUUUUCAGAACUUAAACUUGCCGAAACUAGGUCUAAGGUCACAGACUGUACCGCAUAAUCAAUCUUUUGCCUGCAAAAUGGCUGCAAAAAAUGAUGCUAAGAAACUGGACCAGUCUGCGGCUGACAUGCAGUCCGCAUACCAGUUUUGCGACUAUAGAAUGGGCCGCAGAAUCCCCUUCCAAAUAUUUCAUUCCAAUUUUGUGACAGAAAUGUGAUCUGCAUAAUGGAUAUGCGAUCGCAUAAUGGACCGCACGAUUCACCUUCAAAUUUUCAAAAGUUUUCUACUUCACUUUGCGGCCGAUAUGCGUCCUGCAUAAUGAUUUUGUGAUCGCAAACUUGAAUGCAGAAUCACCUUCUUCAGCCAAAAUUUCCAUCCACAAUUUAGUGCAUUCUUCGACCCAAUCAUUAACACAUAAGCCUAACUCAGCACAAGGAAAUCCCGUGUUUUAGGUAAAAAAUUUACGGGGCCUUAUAGGAUCCCCCACUUAGAAUCAUUCGUCCUCGAAUGAGGGUAAAAAUCUGCCAUUAGCAUCCAACGUGACUCAACUUAUUACUUCACACACCGGUCAUGCCAAUUUUUUACUAACUCCUAAAAUUUGCAAAAACUUCGCCAGAGUUUCCCUUGUAACUGGGCCUAUCUACCCGUUAGAGAAUCUCAGAAACCAAUCCUAACAACGUACGCAUAAACCAUCAAUGCAACAUAACAUGGAAACAACACCAAUCGUGGUCUCAUAAUCAAUAUAUUUCCAGAAAGGAACACCAUUAACACAGACUAUAUCGGUGUUACAUAUUUCAUAGAGGGUAAGCUCUUAACAUUUUCAUUGAACACAAUUUCGUAAAUACACUGUCAUUCAAAUAUAUGGGGAUACUUUUAUUCAUAUAUUCCCCGGACUCCCAUAUGGCCUCUUCUACCUGUUGGUUCAACCAUAGCACUUUCAUGGAGGCAAUCUCUUCAUUUCUCAACUUUCGGACUUGCGUAUAAAUAAUGGAAACUGGAAUUUAUUCCUAAGUCAAUUCUUCAUUAACCUUAAUAGUUUCAACUGGAACAAUGAGUGCCAGACCUCCAACUACCUCCUUCAAUGUAGACACAUAAACAGAAGCACCGGGUGCACUAAUGACAUUUCAGGUGGUAGUUCAAUUUUUUGUAAGCCACCUGACCAACAUUUUGAAUGAUUCUGUACGGCUCAACAUACCUCGUGCUCAAUUACCCAUUUUUACCAAUUCACAUUACUCUUCAUGGCUGAAACCUUUAAGAAUACCCAAUCAUUUUUUUUGAACACAAAAUCCCUACGUCGAACAUCCGAAUAGGACUUCUGAUAACUAUAAGUAGUUUUAGGUAAAAAAAAUUCGGGACCUUACAAAAGCGCAUUGGAACCGCAUGUGCGAUUGCACAGAAGUGAUCCCGCAUGUGCAAAUUUUGGGCCGCAGGUGCGGUUGUUUGGGUGGCUAAGUGAUUUCCAUAGAAGCAGAGUUGCAGGUGCGACUGGUGAGUCCGUAUGAGCAAAAAGGCUGGCAAAGAUUUAAAAUUGAGGAUUUGAGUUCUUCUUAUUUUGAGAGUUUUGGGGUGCGGAUUUAGGCGAUUUUUGGAGAGAUUUUCACCUAGAUUGAAGAGGUAAGUGAUUUGUCAUCAAUUUUAUCCAUGUUUUUUGAUUAUCCAUUAUUUCACCUAUUUAUCAUGAAUCUAAGUUGGAAUUUGGGGUUUUUUGACACAUGUAUUGGGAGUAAGAUUUGAGGGUUUGAGGGUCGAUUUUUUGCUGGAAUUGGAUAAUUUUGGUAUAGUUGGACUCAUUAUUCAAUGGUUGUUCGAAUUUUGUAAAUUUUAUCAGGUUUCGAGACGUGAGCUCGGGUUGACUUUUAGGCUUUGGUUAAUGAUCUUAGGUUUACCAUUUGGGAUCAAUUCCUAUAGCUUUUAGUGAUAGUAUUACGUUGCUUUUGGCUAUAUUCGAGCCUUCCAAAGAUUGAUGCACGUGGGAAAGGCAUGCUAGCGGAGCGAUUUGAUUUCUUGAGGUAAGUAUCUUAUCUAAACUCGGUUGAGACACUAGUUGCCUGAAUUAUUGUGACAGGUACGUGCUAUUGGGUGCGUACAUGCAUGGGGUUGAACCCAUGUGCUGACACCGGGUUUUUUUAUUCAUGUUUGUGUUGUGCUCAGGCUCUUAUAAGCGUAGAAUUUGACUGUUAAACCUUAAUCUAUGAUGCUUUGCACAUUUGUGGCGUUGUUGUUAACUAUUUGAGCCAUGUUUGAGGCCACAUAGGCGUUUAAUACCCGAAUGAACUGAUAAAUGUUAUUCUCUAUGGAAAUUGUCAGUUUGAGCUAAGAUAGUUGUAAUGACUCGGCCGGUCGUUUUAAGAAUUAUUUCCCCGAUCCCCUAUUAACUACUUUCCCCAUGUUUGUUUAAGCUAUUUUGAUUUGCCGAGAUGUUUCGUUUUGAGUUUCAGAGAGUUUUCGGACACUUAGUCCCUAAAUGAGAGUUUAAGUUUUAGAAUUUGGACUAUAGUUGGAACAGUGUGAAGAUGAUCUCAGAAUGGAAUUCUGUUGGUUCCGUUAGCUUCGUUGGGUGAUUUGGGGCUUAGGGGUGUUUUUGUAUUGUGUUUUGGAGGUCCGUAGCUAAUUUAGGCUUAAAAUGCCGAAAGUUGAAUUUUUUAAGUUUCCGAUUCGAUAUUGAGAUUUUGAUAUAAGGGUCGGAAUGGAAUUCCAGAAGUUGGAGUAGCUCCGUAGUGUUGAAUGUGACAUGUGUGCAAAUUUUAAGGUCAUUCGGACGAGUGUUGAUAAACUUUUUGAUCGAAAGCGUAAUUUGAGAGUUUUUUGAGUUCUUAGGCUUGAAUCCAUGGUUAAUUCGAUGUUUCAAUGUUGUUUUAGGUGUUUUAAGGUUUGGUAUAAGUUUGGAUAGUGGUAUAUGACUCGUUCGUGCUUUUGAUUGAGGUCCCGGGGGCCUCGGGAUGAUUUCGGAUGGUUAACGGGAAGUUGAGAGUUAGUGUGCAGCUGAAGUUGCUGGAUUUAUGUCAUAACCGCACCUGCGGAUUGGGGACCGCACCUGCGGAGCCACAGAAGAGGUUGGGAGAGCACAAAUGCGGCCAGAUAAGUAAAAGCUAGAAACCGCAGGUGCGGAAGUGCCCACAUACCUGCGUGACCGCAUAUGUGGUAGAAGAAGCGGAGGUGCGGCCCAACCCUUUAAGUGGAAUUUUGAAGAUGCACACCUAGAGCCACAGGUGCGGGUCUGCAGGUGCGAGAAAAAGGCUGCAGGUGUGGAAACCCUGGGCCAGAACCUAUAUAAGGUUUUAGUCGCGAUUUUUGCCCAUUCUUUCACCAUUUUCAUCCGGGAUUUGAGCUUUUUAGGAGGUUUUUGCAAGGGAAUCCAAGGGAGCUUCGAGGAGGUAAUAUUCUUGGAACCUAAACUCAUUAUUAUGGUGAUUUUUAUCAUUGUAAGCAUGAAAUUUGAGGUAAAUUCAGUAGUAAAUUGGGGGUUAGGGCUUGGUUAAUUAAAGAACUUUGAGUGAUGAUUUGAGGGAACAUUUGAGGUCUGAUUUUGGUACUUUUCGUAUGACUGAACUCGUGAGAGUAUGAAAAUUCUGAAAAUGUAAAUUUUACUUGAUUCCGAGACGUGGGUCCGAGGGGCGCUUUGGUAAUUUUACCUAAUUUUGCAUAUUAGCUUAGAAUUUAUUUGUAGAAUUAGUUACCUGAAGUGUUAUUUAUAUUACGCAAUUGAAUUGAAUAGAUUUGGGCCAUUUGGAGUCGAGUACUCAUGGCAAGAGCGUGGUUUCGGGUUGAUUUUGAGCCGGUUCGAGGUAAGUGGCUUGCCUAACCUUGUGUAGGGGAAACUCCCCUUAGGAUUUUGGUAUUAUUGAUAUUUGAAAUGCCUUGUAUGUAAGGUGACGAGUGCGUACUUGUGCUAAUUAUUGAAAAUCCGAUUUUUCUUAAAUAACUAUAAUUGUGUUUCCUUUCCUCUUUAUACUACUUAUAAUUUAAGCCUAUUAUUAGCUUAGGGAACCAUGUCUAAUUGACUUAAUUGCCUUACUUGUUCAAACUGUCUUAUUUAGAUUAUGUGCAGCAUGCUAGGCUAGAGAUACCUUUUUUACCUUGGUAUGGAAUUGAAUUGAAUUGUGUAUUCUUCGUGUUGUUGCUGUGUGUGUACUUUGGGACUACGGGAUGGUAUCCCGAGAGAUCCCUCUACACUUUUAUAUUGGAUCUAGGGGACGACACUCGAUAUAUUCCCCCAGUACUGAGUAUUUACAUUUGGGACUACGGAUCGGUAUUCCGGGAGAUCCCCAGACAUUAUGAGUUGGACUAUGAGACGAUAUACUGGGAGAUCUACUAGAUAUUUAUAUUUGGGACUACAGGACAGUAUCCUGGGAGAUCCCCUAUUGUUAUCUCUAUGUUGAGCUGUAUUUCUUUCCGUGAUUAUUUCGUCUCUGUUAUAUUUGUUAUUGCUAUUUCCAUCUUGUGUUACUUCCUACUAUUGCACUUAUUGUACUGUCUCAUUCUACACUAUUAUACCUUGUAUUUUACUUAACCUCAGUAUGGCCCUGGCCUUCCUCGUCACUACCCGACCGAGGUUAGGCUUGGCACUUACUGAGUACCGUUGUGGUGUACUCAUGCCCUUUCUGCGCAUGUUUUUCAUGUGCAGAUCCAGGUACUUCCACUCUGUCUUAUCACUUUUGAGGCAAGGUGCUGAUGUAGAGACUCCGAGGUAUAUCUGUCGCGUCUGCAGACCGAAGAGUCCCUUUCUAUUCUCAGUACUAG
rnacentral:lncRNA from 1 species